AGGCCCGUGGCUCAACUGGUAGAGCAUCGGUCUCCAAAACCGGCGGUUGGGGGUUCAAGUCCCUCCGGGCCUG
rnacentral:tRNA from 1 species